rnacentral:rRNA from 1 species
CACGUAGGGUGCGAGCGUUUUCCGGAAUUAUUGGGCGUAAAGAGCUCGUAGGCGGUGUGUCGCGUCGGCCGUGAAAACUUGCAGCUUAACUGUGGGCGUGCGGUCGAUACGGGCAUCACUGGAGUUCGGCAGGGGAGACUGGAAUUCCUGGUGUAGCGGUGAAAUGCGCAGAUAUCAGGAGGAACACCGGUGGCGAAGGCGGGUCUCUGGGCCGAUACUGACGCUGAGGAGCGAAAGCGUGGGGAGCGAACAGG